UACGGAAGGCAGCAGUGGGGAAUAUUGCACAAUGGGCGCAAGCCUGAUGCAGCCAUGCCGCGUGUAUGAAGAAGGCCUUCGGGUUGUAAAGUACUUUCAGUCGUGAGGAAGGUGUUAAGGUUAAUAACCUUAGCAAUUGACGUUAGCGACAGAAGAAGCACCGGCUAACUCCGUGCCAGCAGCCGCGGUAAUACGGAGGGUGCGAGCGUUAAUCGGAAUUACUGGGCGUAAAGGGCACGCAGGCGGUUAAUUAAGUUGGAUGUGAAAUCCCCGGGCUUAACCCGGGAAUGGCAUUCAAGACUGGUUAGCUAGAGUCUUGUAGAGGGGGUAGAAUUCCAUGUGUAGCGGUGAAAUGCGUAGAGAUGUGGAGGAAUACCGGUGGCGAAGGCGGCCCCUGGACAAAGGCUGACGCUCAUGUGCGAAAGCGUGGGGAGCAAAC
rnacentral:rRNA from 1 species